GGUUGGUUCAUAUAAAGGCUAUUAUGGCGGUUUUGUAAUCCGUUCAUCAGGGUUCGAGUCCCUGACUAACCA
rnacentral:tRNA from 3 species